rnacentral:rRNA from 1 species
GAUGAACGCUGGCGGCAGGCCUAACACAUGCAAGUCGAGCGGUUGACGGGAGCUUGCUCCCUGAUUCAGCGGCGGACGGGUGAGUAAUGCCUAGGAAUCUGCCUAUUAGUGGGGGACAACGUUUCGAAAGGAACGCUAAUACCGCAUACGUCCUACGGGAGAAAGCAGGGGACCUUCGGGCCUUGCGCUAAUAGAUGAGCCUGGGUCGGAUUAGCCUGUUGGUGAGGUAAUGGCUCACCAAGGCGACGAUCCGUAACUGGUCUGAGAGGAUGAUCAGUCACACUGGAACUGAGACACGGUCCAGACUCCUACGGGAGGCAGCAGUGGGGAAUAUUGGACAAUGGGCGAAAGCCUGAUCCAGCCAUGCCGCGUGUGUGAAGAAGGUCUUCGGAUUGUAAAGCACUUUAAGUUGGGAGGAAGGGUUGUAGAUUAAUACUCUGCAAUUUUGACGUUACCGACAGAAUAAGCACCGGCUAACUCUGUGCCAGCCGCCGCCGUAAAAC